rnacentral:rRNA from 1 species
AGGGUUCGAUUCUGGCUCAGGAUGAACGCUGGCGGCGUGCUUAACACAUGCAAGUCGAACGGGAUCCAUCAAGCUUGCUUGGUGGUGAGAGUGGCGAACGGGUGAGUAAUGCGUGACCGACCUGCCCCAUACACCGGAAUAGCUCCUGGAAACGGGUGGUAAUGCCGGAUGCUCCAGUUGAUCGCAUGGUCUUCUGGGAAAGCUUUCGCGGUAUGGGAUGGGGUCGCGUCCUAUCAGCUUGACGGCGGGGUAACGGCCCACCGUGGCUUCGACGGGUAGCCGGCCUGAGAGGGCGACCGGCCACAUUGGGACUGAGAUACGGCCCAGACUCCUACGGGAGGCAGCAGUGGGGAAUAUUGCACAAUGGGCGCAAGCCUGAUGCAGCGACGCCGCGUGAGGGAUGGAGGCCUUCGGGUUGUAAACCUCUUUUAUCGGGGAGCAAGCGAGAGUGAGUUUACCCGUUGAAUAAGCACCGGCUAACUACGUGCCAGCAGCCGCGGUAAUACGUAGGGUGCAAGCGUUAUCCGGAAUUAUUGGGCGUAAAGGGCUCGUAGGCGGUUCGUCGCGUCCGGUGUGAAAGUCCAUCGCUUAACGGUGGAUCCGCGCCGGGUACGGGCGGGCUUGAGUGCGGUAAGGGAGACUGGAAUUCCCGGUGUAACGGUGGAAUGUGUAGAUAUCGGGAAGAACACCAAUGCCGAAGGCAGGUCUCUGGGCCNGUACUGACGCUGAAGAGCGAAAGCGUGGGGAGCGAACAGGAUUAGAUACCCUGGUAGUCCACGCCGUAAACGGUGGAUGCUGGGAUGUGGGGCCCGUUCCCACGGGUNCCGUGUNCGAGCUAAACGCGUAAGCAUCCCGCCUGGGGAGUACGGCCGGCAGGCUAAAACUCAAGGAAAUUGACGGGGGGCCCNGCACAGCGCGGAGCAUGCGGAAUAAUUCGAUGCAACCCAAAAACCUUACUGGGCUUGACAUGUCCCGACAGUCUAAAAAUACGCUCCCUUCCGGGGGGGUCCCAGGGGGGGCAGGCCGC